CAGUGGCAGGCCUCGCGAGAGCCAGGUCCCGGGAGUUGACCGACAGCGCACCUGCGUUGGCGCUCACAUACUUACGACGUGAGCUUUCAAGUAACUCAUCACAAGGGAGCGUUCCUUUAAAGAAGCAACCUUGGGCACAGGCCUGCCGUCUCUAUGGUUACUCUCCCCCGCUUCUCCUUAACUUGGUCGGUUCUGACAGAGACGAAAGCAGCAUAGAAAACCGCGCGUGAGGAAAAGCCACGUCCGCCUCCUAUGGUGCGGGGUGGAACUGCACAAAAGGACCGAGAUCGCUAACCAGGAGCUCAACCGGUGUUAAACAGAAGAGUGUGUGUACGCACAAACUUCCAGGAACAAAGGAUGAAUCACAAAAUGAGAUCAGAAUUUGCAAUUUCCCAUGCAGUGUCAUUUAAAAUGAGAACCCAAAGCUGAGCUGUUAAGAUGAGGAAAGAGAGCCAUAGAAAAAUUACGUGAUUUGCUCAAGUCAUAUAGCCAGUGAGUGGCAGAGCAGGAGUUCAAAUCCUCAGCUUUCAUUGAGGGCUUGCACAUUAACCUCGAUGGAUACCAUCUCAUCUUGCACCUCUCCAUCUGAUGCUGAGUCCCUGAGUUUGUUUUGAUGUCUCCCCACCGCCUGAGUGAGAAGAGCAGAUACUGGGGUUUUCUUCCCAGAGCGUCUUCAGUCACAAGCACAGAGGCAUAAGAAACUUCAAUAGAACAAGAAGAGGGGCUAGCAGUUAGCAUAAUGGCUAUGUCGCUGGACUCCCUUGUAGUCAACCACAGUUCAAG